CUUGGUCAUUUAGAGGAAGUAAAAGUCGUAACAAGGUCUCCGUUGGUGAACCAGCGGAGGGAUCAUUACCGAGUUUACAACUCCCAAACCCCUGUGAACAUACCACUUGUUGCCUCGGCGGAUCAGCCCGCUCCCGGUAAAACGGGACGGCCCGCCAGAGGACCCCUAAACUCUGUUUCUAUAUGUAACUUCUGAGUAAAACCAUAAAUAAAUCAAAACUUUCAACAACGGAUCUCUUGGUUCUGGCAUCGAUGAAGAACGCAGCAAAAUGCGAUAAGUAAUGUGAAUUGCAGAAUUCAGUGAAUCAUCGAAUCUUUGAACGCACAUUGCGCCCGCCAGUAUUCUGGCGGGCAUGCCUGUUCGAGCGUCAUUUCAACCCUCAGGCACAGCUUGGUGUUGGGACUCGCGUUAAUUCGCGUUCCCCAAAUUGAUUGGCGGUCACGUCGAGCUUCCAUAGCGUAGUAGUAAAACCCUCGUUACUGGUAAUCGUCGCGGCCACGCCGUUAAACCCCAACUUCUGAAUGUUGACCUCGGAUCAGGUAGGAAUACCCGCUGAACUUAAGCAUAUCAAUAAGCGGAGGA
rnacentral:misc_RNA from 1 species